UACAGAGGGUGCGAGCGUUGUUCGGAAUUAUUGGGCGUAAAGGGCGCGUAGGCGGUGCGGUAAGUCACCUGUGAAAGUCCUGGGCUUAACCUGGGAACUGCAUUUGAUACUGAUUGGCUUGAAUGCAGGAGAGGAUAGCGGAAUUCCCAGUGUAGAGGUGAAAUUCGUAGAUAUUGGGAAGAACACCGGUGGCGAAGGCGGCUAUCUGGACUGUGAUUGACGCUGAGGCGCGAAAGCGUGGGGAGCAAACAGG
rnacentral:rRNA from 1 species